rnacentral:lncRNA from 1 species
GAUUAAUGGUUUAGUGUUUUUAUGAUUUACUGUUUAAUAUUUUUGAUUUAGAAUUUAAGAUUUAUCUAAAGAUUUAGGGUUUACCCAAGGAUUUGAAAUUUAGUAUUCAAGGUUUAGUAUUUUGGUGAUGACACUAAAAGUAUUUUUUUUACAACUAUUACUAUUUUUUAUUUAUUUUUAUAUUUUAAAAACAUAAUAUAUCUUGACAAUAUAUAAUUUUCUUUUUAAAAAGAUACUAAAUAUGACAAAAAAAAGAUACUAAAUAUAAAUAGCAGAAUGCUAUUGGUUGGUGAAUCC